rnacentral:rRNA from 1 species
UACGUAGGGUGCAAGCGUUAAUCGGAAUUACUGGGCGUAAAGCGUGCGCAGGCGGUUUUGUAAGACAGUGGUGAAAUCCCCGGGCUCAACCUGGGAACUGCCAUUGUGACUGCAAGGCUAGAGUGCGGCAGAGGGGGAUGGAAUUCCGCGUGUAGCAGUGAAAUGCGUAGAUAUGCGGAGGAACACCGAUGGCGAAGGCAAUCCCCUGGGCCUGCACUGACGCUCAUGCACGAAAGCGUGGGGAGCAAACAGGAUUAGAUACCCUGGUAGUCCACGCCCUAAACGAUGUCAACUGGUUGUUGGGUCUUAACUGACUCAGUAACGAAGCUAACGCGUGAAGUUGACCGCCUGGGGAGUACGGCCGCAAGGUUGAA